CUCAGCAGUAGCACUUCCUUUAAGAGACACUAUAAACAUCAACCUGAACACAAGUUCAAUCUGAACAAACGUUCAACAAGCUCACAAGAUGAAGACGCUGCUGCUUUCACUGCUCUGUCUGUUCGUGUGGAAUCAAACCACAGAAGCUUUAACUGAUCAACAAGUGGUUUUAGGGCAGAAUGUGACUUUAGCCUGUGAGUUUAAAUGUAACGCAGCUAUUUGGUUUUUGCUGAAACUACCAGCUCGUCCAAUGAUGAUACUGAGAACAUUUGCGUCCAAUGAUGAUACUGAGACUGAUUAUUAUAAUGAAAAAUUCCGCAACAAAUAUUUUGUGGGAAACAGAAGCGAAAUAGUAAUCAACAAUGUCACUGAUGAUGAUUUAGGAAUUUAUUUCUGUAUAAAAGCAGGCUGGGCUCUAAAGAUCAGUGACGGCAUCAGACUGAAACACCACUGAAGUCUGAUGUGAAGUUUGGUGAGCGUGAUGAGGAAUAACAUCCAUUCAGACCAGCGGCACUGUUGUUCCUCCUCAGAUCUCACAAACUGAUCCUGAAUAUAUACAAGUUCAGACAGCUUCAUACUGAGAGAUUGUGUUGAUUUAUUGCUUCAAAUAAUAAGAAUUUUGAUCUGCUUGAAUAUGUAAUGAAAUUAUCACUCUUAAAGACAUGAUUUGUUUUUGUCUGUUCAAAAUAAAACAUGACUAAAAUCUGUCUGCAAUUAAAAUGGCAAUUGAAUUUUAAAAUAACAUUUAAUUUUCGAAUAAAUCAACAUUAUUUUGAUUG